rnacentral:rRNA from 1 species
CAGUAGCCGCGGUAAUACAGAGGGUGCGAGCGUUAAUCGGAUUUACUGGGCGUAAAGCGUGCGUAGGCGGCUUCUUAAGUCGGAUGUGAAAUCCCUGAGCUUAACUUAGGAAUUGCAUUCGAUACUGGGAAGCUAGAGUAUGGGAGAGGAUGGUAGAAUUCCAGGUGUAGCGGUGAAAUGCGUAGAGAUCUGGAGGAAUACCGAUGGCGAAGGCAGCCAUCUGGCCUAAUACUGACGCUGAGGUACGAAAGCAUGGGGAGCAAACAGGAUUAGAUACCCCGGUAGUCCCUGUCUCUUAUAU